rnacentral:pre_miRNA from 1 species
GCCCGCGCCGAGCCCCUCGCACAAACCGGACCUGAACGUUUUGUUCGUUCGGCUCGCGUGAGGCGGAG